UCCAGAAUGAAUAAUAGCGUGGUAUGUUGAUAAUUUUUUAUUUUGUCUUGGAUAGGCUGUUCACAUGCAAGUACUCCGUACAUAAGUGAAUCUAGUGGAUCAUAUACGUCUUUACCUGAAGACUUCAACGGCACUGUCUUUAAAUUCCAUGUCCAGGACCCUGAUAAAGGGGACAGUAUAACAGUAAGACCAGCUGAUGACACAACUGCCAACUACUUCCGUAUUAUUCCAUCCGGAAGUGGAAAUGAUGUCUGGGUAAAUGUAACUGUUAAGAAACCUUUGGACAGAGAAACACUGGGAAGCAUGGUGAAGAUGCAUUUUUCAAUAACAGACCUUCAAACCAAUCAGGUAAGCUUUGAGCAUACGGUUUAUAUUUCUGAUGUUAAUGACAAUCAGCCAGUGUUUGACAAAUUAGUAUACAUGUUCGGAAUAAAUGAGUUACCCUGCAACCAAACAACAGUUUACACGAGCAUACGUGCAACAGAUCAGGACACGAAUGCAAAUGGUAGAUUAAGAUAUUCCAUGGCGCCAUCUGCGCAGGUAAGUUAUUUUCA